CUACGUGCCAGCAGCCGCGGUAAUACGGAAGGUCCGGGCGUUAUCCGGAUUUAUUGGGUUUAAAGGGAGUGUAGGCGGUCUGUUAAGCGUGUUGUGAAAUUUAGGUGCUCAACAUUUAACUUGCAGCGCGAACUGUCAGACUUGAGUACACGCAGCGCAGGCGGAAUUCAUGGUGUAGCGGUGAAAUGCUUAGAUAUCAUGAGGAACUCCGAUCGCGAAGGCAGCCUGCGGGAGUGUUACUGACGCUUAAGCUCGAAGGUGCGGGUAUCGAACAGGAUUAGAUACCCUGGUAGUCCGCACGGUAAACGAUGGAUGCCCGCCGUUGGCGCCCUGCGCCUGCGGCCAAGCGAAAGCAUUAAGCAUCCCACCUGGGGAGUACGCCGGCAACGGUGAAACUCAAAGGAAUUGACGGGGGCCCGCACAAGCGGUGGAGCAUGUGGUUUAAUUCGAAGCAACGCGAAGAACCUUACCAGGUCUUGACAUCCCUCUGACCGCUCUAGAGAUAGAGUUUUC
rnacentral:rRNA from 1 species